rnacentral:rRNA from 1 species
UUCGCAAUGCCCGAAAGGGUGACGAAGCGACGCCGCGUGGGUGAGGAAGGCCCUCGGGUUGUAAAGCCCUGUCAGGAGUUAAGAAAUGUAGGUACGCUAAUAUCGUAUCUAUUUGACAAAGGCUCCAAAGGAAGCCACGGCUAACUCUGUGCCAGCAGCCGCGGUAAUACAGAGGUGGCAAGCGUUGUUCGGAAUUAUUGGGCGUAAAGAGCACGUAGGUGGAUUUGUAAGUCAGAUGUGAAAGCCUUCUGUUCAACGGGAGAAUUGCAUCUGAAGCUACAGACCUUGAGUGUAGGAGGGGAGAAUGGAACUUCUGGUGGAGCGGUGAAAUGCGUAGAUAUCAGAAGGAACGUCGGCGGCGAAAGCGACUCUCUGGCCUAUUACUGACACUGAGUGUGCGAAAGUUAGGGGAGCAAACGGGAUUAGAUACCCCGGUAGUCCUAACCGUAAACGAUGGGCACUAAGUAGAGGGGUUUU